UACGAAGGGGGCUAGCGUUGCUCGGAUUGACUGGGCGUAAAGGGCGCGUAGGCGGUUCGUACAGUUGGAUGUGAAAUUCCUGGGCUCAACCUGGGGGCUGCAUUCAAUACGUGCGGGCUUGAGUUCGGAAGAGGGUCGUGGAAUUCCCAGUGUAGAGGUGAAAUUCGUGGAUAUUGGGAAGAACACCGGUGGCGAAGGCGGCGACCUGGUCCGAUACUGACGCUGAGGCGCGAAAGCGUGGGGGG
rnacentral:rRNA from 1 species